CGAACUCUGGUAUUGAUUGGUGCUUGCAUCAUGAUUUACAUUUGAGUGAGUGGCGAACUGGUGAGUAACACGUGGGAAACCUGCCCAGAAGCGGGGGAUAACACCUGGAAACAGAUGCUAAUACCGCAUAACAACUUGGACCGCAUGGUCCGAGCUUGAAAGAUGGCUUUGGCUAUCACUUUUGGAUGGUCCCGCGGCGUAUUAGCUAGAUGGUGGGGUAACGGCUCACCAUGGCAAUGAUACGUAGCCGACCUGAGAGGGUAAUCGGCCACAUUGGGACUGAGACACGGCCCAAACUCCUACGGGAGGCAGCAGUAGGGAAUCUUCCACAAUGGACGAAAGUCUGAUGGAGCAACGCCGCGUGAGUGAAGAAGGGUUUCGGCUCGUAAAACUCUGUUGUUAAAGAAGAACAUAUCUGAGAGUAACUGUUCAGGUAUUGACGGUAUUUAACCAGAAAGCCACGGCUAACUACGUGCCAGCAGCCGCGGUAAUACGUAGGUGGCAAGCGUUGUCCGGAUUUAUUGGGCGUAAAGCGAGCGCAGGCGGUUUUUUAAGUCUGAUGUGAAAGCCUUCGGCUCAACCGAAGAAGUGCAUCGGAAACUGGGAAACUUGAGUGCAGAAGAGGGACAGUGGACUCCAUGUGUAGCGGUGAAAUGCGUAGAUAUAUGGAAGAACACCAGUGGCGAAGGGCGGCUGUCUGGUCUGUAACUGACGCUGAGGCUCGAAAGUAUGGGUAGCAAACAGGAUUAGAUACCCUGGUAGUCCAUACCGUAAACGAUGAAUGCUAAGUGUUGGAGGGUUUCCGCCCUUCAGUGCUGCAGCUAACGCAUUAAGCAUUCCGCCUGGGGAGUACGGCCGCAAGGCUGAAACUCAAAGGAAUUGACGGGGGCCCGCACAAGCGGUGGAGCAUGUGGUUUAAUUCGAAGCUACGCGAAGAACCUUACCAGGUCUUGACAUAGUAUGCAAAUCUAAGAGAUUAGACGUUCCCUUCGGGGACAUGGAUACAGGUGGUGCAUGGUUGUCGUCAGCUCGUGUCGUGAGAUGUUGGGUUAAGUCCCGCAACGAGCGCAACCCUUAUUAUCAGUUGCCAGCAUUAAGUUGGGCACUCUGGUGAGACUGCCGGUGACAAACCGGAGGAAGGUGGGGAUGACGUCAAAUCAUCAUGCCCCUUAUGACCUGGGCUACACACGUGCUACAAUGGAUGGUACAACGAGUUGCGAACUCGCGAGAGUAAGCUAAUCUCUUAAAGCCAUUCUCAGUUCGGAUUGUAGGCUGCAACUCGCCUACAUGAAGUCGGAAUCGCUAGUAAUCGCGGAUCAGCAUGCCGCGGUGAAUACGUUCCCGGGCUUACGCACACCGCCCGUCGACUUCAUCAGAGUAGGUAACACCCGAAGUCA
rnacentral:rRNA from 1 species